AUAUUACUAAGCGGAGGAAAAGAAAUUAACAAAGAUUGCCUUAGUAAGGGCGACUGAACCGGCAAAAGCUCAAAAUUAAAAUCGAUGAUUCAAUGAAUCUUCGAAUUGUAAUCAGGCCAGCCUAAAUACGAGAGUUAGUUUAAGUACGUCGAAUCGUACGCCAUGGAGGGUGAAAGCCCCGUGUUGCUUUCUCUCGAGUAAGGUGAGCCCCACAAGAGUCGGGUUGCUUGGAACUGCAGCCCUAAGCGGGAGAUAUGAAUCUUCCAAAGCUAAAUAAGGAUGGGAGACCGAUAGCGAACAAGUACUGCGAAGGAAAGAUGAAAAGGACUUUGAAAAGAGAGUGAAAAGAUCUGAAAUCGUUGAGAAGGAAGCGGUAGAAACUGAUGGUCGUACUGAUAGAUAUCGCGGUGUACAACUGCGUAGUUCUUACCGGAACGAUGGGCAAAAUGAAGUCGAAAGCGUCAAAAAAGGCUUUAGCCGCAUAGGGCGUAAUCGGCUUGAGGGACUAUUGUGAUUUUGCCAAAAUGGUUUUUACCGU
rnacentral:rRNA from 1 species